UGGAUCAGUGGUGACCACUGGUGGUUUAUGAGUCAUUGACGAGGACUACAAGUCAGGGAGUCUGAGGUCUAC